rnacentral:rRNA from 1 species
GAUGAACGCUAGCGGCAGGCUUAACACAUGCAAGUCGAGGGGUAGAAGUUGCUUGCAACUUUGAGACCGGCGCACGGGUGCGUAACGCGUAUGCAAUCUACCUUAUACAGAGGGAUAGCCCAGAGAAAUUUGGAUAAAUACCUCAUAGUAUAAUUGAAUGGCAUCAUUUAAUUAUUAAAGUUCCAACGGUAUAAGAUGAGCAUGCGUCCUAUUAGCUAGAUGGUAAGGUAACGGCUUACCAUGGCAACGAUAGGUAGGGGUCCUGAGAGGGAGAUACCCCACACUGGUACUGAGACACGGACCAGACUCCUACGGGAGGCAGCAGUGAGGAAUAUUGGACAAUGGGCGCAAGCCUGAUCCAGCCAUGCCGCGUGCAGGAAGAAGCAUCUAUGGUGUGUAAACUGCUUUUGUACGGGAAGAAACACUCCUUCGUGAAGGAGCUUGACGGUACCGUAAGAAUAAGGAUCGGCUAACUCCGUGCCAGCAGCCGCCGUAAUAC